rnacentral:lncRNA from 1 species
UGAUAUGUAAACCAUACACUGAUAUGUCAAUCAAACAUGAUGUCUUGAUAUUUAGAAGAUAAAUUGAACUCUUUUAAUGAUCGUAAAUAAAUAACAUAAUGUCAUGUAUAGCAAAGAAAUGAUUUGAUGCAAAUCUAUUUAUGACAAAAUAAUAUUAAACAUUUCAGAUUUUGUUUCUUUUCAAGCUUAAAUUACAAUCUUUUAACCACUAAAUUACAACCUUUUAACC